GAACACAAAAUGGCGACACGUGGUUAGCAUUCGUCGCCAACGAGAAAUUGGGGUCGGCCCGAAAGCUCUAGAAUGCACCCCCCUUCUUCCCCGGGGCCUUCCACCUCCGCGAGUUUUAUGACUUAAAAAACCCCACAGGCUGGUCUGAAGAGGAAGACAAACAUAAAGAUGAAGUGCUUAAUUCAAGGUCACACAAUGUCGGGGAUGGACCUCCAGAUUUCCUUACUGAGACGGAGUCUUGCUAUGUUGCCCAGGCUGGUCUUGAACUCCUCACCUCAAGCGAUCCUCUCGUCUUGGCCUCCCAAGUGUCAGGAUUACAGGCAUGUGCUAUCACACCCAACCUGAUACAUUGCCUUUAUAAAUUUUUUUUUCUUUAUUCUAAAAACCAGAAAAAACAAAACUGGAUACAUGUGCAGAACAUGCAGACCAAGUGUGUUGGGGACUUGAGAUGCGUACAUGAGUGUUUGUGAUGUUUCCUGCCGAAAGCACAGGUGAGACGUGGUCUUGUAACACAGUGGUUAAGAAUGUGACUUUGGAGCCAGCCUGCUAGGGGCUGAAUUCUGACUCAGCCAUUUACUAACUGUGUG
rnacentral:antisense_RNA from 1 species